CUCUCUCUAACCAUGAUAAUUUGAUCUCGAAUUAGUUAUUCACAAAAAUCGAAUUUAAACUUUUUUACUUAUAAGCAGAGUAAAAUUCCAUUACAUCGUUAUACUAAUGUCACAGUGUUUUUUAUUUUUAAUUUUUAAUUUUAUUGGUGGUUUGAUCAUAUUAAGGAGCAUGAAUAUAUAGAUCAGAUGGGGAAAUGGGAGAAAAAAAAAAAAACCAUCUCUUUCUUUACACAACUUUCCCACGUUAACCAAAUCGAAAAGCAUUCUCUCAAUUCUCUCUCUCUCUCUCUUACCCACUAAUGGAAAUAGACAACCCAAAGACUCAAUUACCUUUAUUGGCUACAUAAUUAUUCAACGUUCACAUCACAAAUCACCCUCCCUUCCUCUACUACGGCGAGAUUUUUUAGUGUGCCCAGAAUAUAAAACGUAAUAUCACAUGCUAUUAUAUAAUUAGAAUGAUAUAAGAAUCAAAUUUUAUCUUACUAAGUAGGGUCGGCUAUAUGAAUUCUAGACCGCUACUAUGCUCAUUUUGUUAGAUUCAAGUACUUCAAGUCUUUUCUUAAAGUUUAUUUUCAAAUCUUAUUAAGUCUUCCUCUAUUCUU
rnacentral:lncRNA from 1 species